rnacentral:rRNA from 1 species
UCGGACUGGAGUCUGCAACCCGACUCCACGAAGUUGGAUUCGCUAGUAAUCGCGCAUCAGCCAUGGCGCGGUGAAUACGUUCCCGGGCCUUGUACACACCGCCCGUCAAGCCAUGGGAGUCGGGAGUGCCUGAAGUUCGUGACCGUAUAGGAGCGACCUAGGGCAAGACUGAUGACUGGGGCUAAGUCGUAACAAGGUACC